rnacentral:rRNA from 1 species
CAAUAGCGUAUAUUAAAGUUGUUGCAGUUAAAAAGCUCGUAGUUGAAUUUCUGGUGGGCGCGCCGGUCUUCCAAGUGUUGUACUGGGCGCAGUCCGCCAUCCUUGUGGAGAGGGCUCGCAUUGAGUUGCGCGUCGGAUCUGCAUCAUUUACUGUGAAAAAAUUAGAGUGUUUAAAGCAGGCUGUCGCUUGAAUACAUUAGCAUGGAAUAAUAAGAUAGGACUUCGGUCUAUUUUGUUGGUUGCGAACCGAGGUAAUGAUUAAUAGGGAUAGUUGGGGGUAUUCAUAUUUAAUUGUCAGAGGUGAAAUUCUUGGAUUUAUGAAAGAUGAACAACUGCGAAAGCAUUUACCAAGGAUGUUUUCAUUAA